rnacentral:lncRNA from 1 species
UUUGGUUCAGGAAUUAGUAGGAACUAGUUAUACCGGGGAUAGGUACAAGUAUGGGUUUUUGUAAGGCAGAGUUUUUUUUUAUUUGGAUGAAAAUGUGAGUAUAAGCUGGAACUAGAUAAAUUGUGUUUGGAUAGUUAUUGGGAAUAAGAGAAAUUGUUGAUGUUUAUAAAUAGAAAAUAAUGAUAUUACCCCUAUAAUUGAAUUUAAAUUUUUAAAUUUAAACUUAUAAUUUUACAUGAAAAAUUUUAACUUUUAAAUUUUAAAAUUUGAAAUUAAAAUUUGAAAUUUAAAUAUUCAAAUUUAUAAAUUUUAAAUUUUAAAUUUUAAAUUUAAGACCAAAUUUAAAUUUGAAAUAUAUAAAAUAUCAAAUAUAAAAUUUAAAAAUUUAUAAUAACAAAUUAAAAUUUUAAACUUUAAAAUUUAUAAUAACAAUUUUAAAUUUUAAUUUUAAAAUUAUAAAAUUUAAAUUCUAAAUUUUAAAAUAAAACUCUCU